rnacentral:lncRNA from 1 species
UAUGAGUCAUAUUCAAAGCUUAACCACUACUUAUCAUAACUUAGAAUCAUAUGUACCCCUCAAAAACAAUGAUUAAAAGCUUCACAUGACCUAAGUAUAUGCAUCUACUAGCAAACUUUCAUCAUCCAAUUAUAUAGUAAGCAUAUAUAUUAAUUAUAGGUGAUGUGGCAAACAUCUCAUUGGGAGCUGAGAUUUUUAUGGAUGAUAGAUGUUAUCAAAACAUGGCUACUGUAUAAAUCUCAC